rnacentral:rRNA from 1 species
ACCGGGGGGUGUGCUAUACAUGCAAGUCGAACGCGUUGGCCCAAUUGAUUGAUGGUGCUUGCACCUGAUUGAUUUUGGUCGCCAACGAGUGGCGGACGGGUGAGUAACACGUAGGUAACCUGCCCAGAAGCGGGGGACAACAUUUGGAAACAGAUGCUAAUACCGCAUAACAGCGUUGUUCGCAUGAACAACGCUUAAAAGAUGGCUUCUCGCUAUCACUUCUGGAUGGACCUGCGGUGCAUUAGCUUGUUGGUGGGGUAAUGGCCUACCAAGGCGAUGAUGCAUAGCCGAGUUGAGAGACUGAUCGGCCACAAUGGGACUGAGACACGGCCCAUACUCCUACGGGAGGCAGCAGUAGGGAAUCUUCCACAAUGGGCGCAAGCCUGAUGGAGCAACACCGCGUGAGUGAAGAAGGGUUUCGGCUCGUAAAGCUCUGUUGUUAAAGAAGAACACGUAUGAGAGUAACUGUUCAUACGUUGACGGUAUUUAACCAGAAAGUCACGGCUAACUACGUGCCAGCAGCCGCGGUAAUACGUAGGUGGCAAGCGUUAUCCGGAUUUAUUGGGCGUAAAGAGAGUGCAGGCGGUUUUCUAAGUCUGAUGUGAAAGCCUUCGGCUUAACCGGAGAAGUGCAUCGGAAACUGGAUAACUUGAGUGCAGAAGAGGGUAGUGGAACUCCAUGUGUAGCGGUGGAAUGCGUAGAUAUAUGGAAGAACACCAGUGGCGAAGGCGGCUACCUGGUCUGCAACUGACGCUGAGACUCGAAAGCAUGGGUAGCGAACAGGAUUAGAUACCCUGGUAGUCCAUGCCGUAAACGAUGAGUGCUAGGUGUUGGAGGGUUUCCGCCCUUCAGUGCCGGAGCUAACGCAUUAAGCACUCCGCCUGGGGAGUACGACCGCAAGGUUGAAACUCAAAGGAAUUGACGGGGGCCCGCACAAGCGGUGGAGCAUGUGGUUUAAUUCGAAGCUACGCGAAGAACCUUACCAGGUCUUGACAUCUUGCGCCAACCCUAGAGAUAGGGCGUUUCCUUCGGGAACGCAAUGACAGGUGGUGCAUGGUCGUCGUCAGCUCGUGUCGUGAGAUGUUGGGUUAAGUCCCGCAACGAGCGCAACCCUUGUUACUAGUUGCCAGCAUUAAGUUGGGCACUCUAGUGAGACUGCCGGUGACAAACCGGAGGAAGGUGGGGACGACGUCAGAUCAUCAUGCCCCUUAUGACCUGGGCUACACACGUGCUACAAUGGACGGUACAACGAGUCGCGAACUCGCGAGGGCAAGCAAAUCUCUUAAAACCGUUCUCAGUUCGGACUGCAGGCUGCAACUCGCCUGCACGAAGUCGGAAUCGCUAGUAAUCGCGGAUCAGCAUGCCGCGGUGAAUACGUUCCCGGGCCUUGUACACACCGCCCGUCACACCAUGAGAGUUUGUAACACCCAAAGUCGGUGGGGUAACCUUUUAGGAGCCAGCCGCCUAAGUGACAGAAAG